GAAAAAAGGAGAGAGAGUAAAAGGAGAGGAUCUCCCUCGUGAUGCCCUUUUGUUUACCGCCAGGUCGGGCGGGUGAAGAAGGCUAAAAGGCACGCCUACUUCUCGAGGCGAUUCCCCUCCCACCUCCCUCUCCCUCGCCAACUCCUCUCCUUUUCUCGUGCAGAGAGCCUCCUCUCCUCUCCUCACCUAAACGCCCCCUCUCUCUAUAUAUACUUCUUCCGCCUCCAUUCUUCCCCAGUUCCCUUUCCCUCCUUUCCUCCUCCACUGUCUCCUUUCUCUUCUUCUACCCUUCUUUCCCCUGCGGCUCUCUCUUGUUCGACUUGAGAGAGAUAGAGACAGACAAACGUCUCCGAGCUCAAAGGUACUGCCUUUCAGUCGCAUUAGCAACAAUGUCGGCUUGCAAGGACAGGGAACAGGACCCCCGCAUCGAAGGCAUAGCUUCUUCCAUCCGUGUCGUUCCCAACUUCCCCAAGCCAGGUAUCAUGUUUCAAGACAUCACCACUCUCCUUCUUGAUCCCAAAGCGUUCAAGAACACGGUGGAUUUGUUCGUGGAGCGUUACACCGGGAAGGAUAUCACCGUUGUUGCUGGAAUUGAAGCUAGAGGUUUUAUAUUUGGUCCUCCAAUUGCUCUAGCAAUUGGUGCAAAGUUUAUUCCAUUGAGAAAACCAAGAAAGUUGCCAGGUGAAGUCAUUUCAGAAGAAUAUGUCCUGGAAUAUGGAACCGACUGUCUUCAAAUGCACAUUGGCGCAGUCCAUCCUGGUGAUCGUGCUCUAGUAGUUGACGAUUUGAUUGCAACCGGGGGGACUCUCUGUGCUGCCAUAAAAUUACUGGAGCGUGCUGGGGCUGAAGUGGUUGAAUGUGCAUGCGUGAUUGAACUUCCAGAACUUAAGGUAACAUCGGACAUUUCUUCUUUUCAUUGACACUUAAAGAAUGUGAUUCUUAUGUUAAUAUUGAAAUUGUUUGUUUGUGCAUUCUUCAAGUGUUGAGUAUGAAUUUCCUGAGUGGGAUUUUAUUUGGAAUCUGCUACGAGCUUGAGAGGUGCACAUGCAUGUACAUGUUAUAACUUUUAUCAGAUGAUUCAACCCCAUAAUCAGUAGUUCUCAUCCUUUGCCUGUGCUUUGUGGAUGGGAAUUUUUUUUUAAAAUUUUACUCAUCAUCAAGUUGGAGUCGGGUGCGCCUUAGCACAACAAUAAGGUUGCUUCACUAUGACUUGAAGGUCAUGGGUUUGAAAUAUCGAAACAGCCCUUCUGCAUGCAGAGGUAAGGCUAGAUAUAUCUAACCCUCCUCAGAAACAGCAAUGGCCAGAGCUGGGUGCACUAGGCCACCUUUAUUAGGGCCGUGAAAGGUUAAAUGGUAAGCCAUUAUACAUACUCGUGGAGUCCCGCUGAUGAUACUUUCUCUCAUUCGGCUGAUGAGAGUCUUGAUUCUGUAAAUUCGAGGAUUUCAUUCAGAUAUUGUGGAAGCUGGCAGCUUUUCCUCUGGAUAGCAGUAAAUUUUGAUUAUUUCACUGCCUUUUAGGCUUUCUAUUUUUUUUCGUCCCUCAUUUUAUGUCAAAACUGGAUUUAUGCAAUCAAACUGUUUGUUAUUUGAGGAAAAAGAAAAAAAAAUCGAACCUGAUGUGUUUUCCCUUAGGCUCUAUAUGC